CUUCCCUUCCCUUCCCUUCCCUUCCCUUCCCUUCCCUUCCCUUCCCUUCCCUUCCCUUCCCUUCCCUUCCCUUCCCUUCCCUUCCCUUCCCUUCCCUUCCCUUCCCUUCCCUUCCCUUCCCUUCCCUUCCCUUCCCUUCCCUUCCCUUCCCUUCCCUUCCCUUCCCUUCCCUUCUUCCCUUCCCUUCCCUUCCCUUCCCUUCCCUUCCCUUCCCUUCCCUUCCCUUCCCUUCCCUUCCCUUCCCUUCCUUUCCCUUCCUUUCUCCUUUCCUUUUUUCUUUUUCUUUUUCUCUUUUUCUUUCUUUACAGCAUCAGAAGAAAGGAGUUUGAAUUCUGAGUCACCCAUAUUUAUACCCUAUGAAAAGUCACACAUAGUAGAAGAUUACAGUGGAAUUGAUAUGAAGUCACUCAAUGUUAAGCCACCCAAAGAACUGGCACUCUUGGUAUAAAUUAGUGGUUAAAUCCAUAAAAUGGCGGAUAACAAGUUUCAGCAUGGGAGGAAUCACACAGGCAAGUAGUAAUAUAACAACCAAUAUAACAAGAUACUAU
rnacentral:lncRNA from 1 species